rfam:Heterocephalus glaber contig46497, whole genome shotgun sequence.
GUCUACAGCCAUACCACCCUGAUCCACACAAUCUCAUCUGAUCUUGGAGGCUAAGCAGUGUCAGGCCUGGUUAGUAUUUGGAUGGGAGACUUAAUCACUGAGAGAAGUUUGUUUUUAGAAU